UGGCCCAGAUCGUUUACCGUGAAAAAAUUAGAGUGUUCAAAGCAGGCAGAUCCAAUUUUCUGCCACCGAAUACAUUAGCAUGGGAUAAUGGAAUAGGACCCUGUCCUCCUAUUUUCAGUUGGUUUUGGCAGCGCGAGGACUAGGGUAAUGAUUAAUAGGGAUAGUUGGGGGCAUUAAUAUUUAAUUGUCAGAGGUGAAAUUCUUGGAUUUAUGAAAGAUUAACUUCUGCGAAAGCAUCUGCCAAGGAUGUUUUCAUUAAUCAAGAACGAAAGUUAGGGGAUCGAAGACGAUCAGAUACCGUCGUAGUCUUAACCAUAAACGAUGCCGACCAGCGAUUAGGAGACGUUGAAUACAAAACACCACCAUCGGCGCGGUCGUCCUUGGCGUCUCGGUCCUUCACGGGGCCGGGGCGCGGGGGCGGCUUAGCCCGGUGGCACCGGUGAA
rnacentral:rRNA from 1 species